GAUGAACGCUGGCGGCGUGCUUAACACAUGCAAGUCGAACGAUGAUCCGGUGCUUGCACCGGGGAUUAGUGGCGAACGGGUGAGUAACACGUGAGUAACCUGCCCUUAACUCUGGGAUAAGCCUGGGAAACUGGGUCUAAUACCGGAUAUGACUGGUCAUCGCAUGGUGGUUGGUGGAAAGCUUUAUUGUGGUUUUGGAUGGACUCGCGGCCUAUCAGCUUGUUGGUGAGGUAAUGGCUCACCAAGGCGACGACGGGUAGCCGGCCUGAGAGGGUGACCGGCCACACUGGGACUGAGACACGGCCCAGACUCCUACGGGAGGCAGCAGUGGGGAAUAUUGCACAAUGGGCGCAAGCCUGAUGCAGCGACGCCGCGUGAGGGAUGACGGCCU
rnacentral:rRNA from 1 species